rnacentral:rRNA from 1 species
UACGUAGGGGGCAAGCGUUGUCCGGAUUUAUUGGGUUUAAAGGGUGCGUAGGCGGUUUUCUAAGUCAGCAGUGAAAUACGGCAGCUCAACUGUCGAGGUGCUGUUGAUACUGGGGAACUUGAGUACUGAUGAGGUAGGCGGAAUGGAUGGUGUAGCGGUGAAAUGCUUAGAGAUCGUCCAGAACACCGAUAGCGAAGGCAGCUUACUAAGGAGUAACUGACGCUGAGGCACGAAAGUGUGGGGAUCAAACAGG